rnacentral:tRNA from 1 species
GGAGAGGUGCUCCGAAUGGUAAGGAACACGCUUGGAAAGCGUGCGCCCCGCAAGGGGCUUGUGGGUUCGAGUCCCACCCUCUCCG